UUUUGUCUCAGGCUGUGAAACCUCACAAGAUAUUAUGUUCGAUUACAUGUCAAUCAUGUAAACAUGUUUACUGUUUUUUUGUUUUUCCUACAUCCUACAGAAAAUAAACCCAAGAGCAAGGACAGAAGAGGCAUUUAAAGAGACGCAGUGUUUCUGUACUAUGAAGAGGAAAAGGCUUGAAUAAAGACAGGAGAUGGAAGGUGCAGAACACAACAGGGAGACCUGAGGGCAAACCCAUGCCGCAGUAAUGAGAGGAGAUGAUGGUGAGAACUUCACAAUAAAGGUGAGCUUUCAAGGUGGCCUUUGAUGUCUCGAAAGUGCCUUGAAUAUAUAAAAGCCCAAAACAAUCUAUACUUUUUUUCUGGAAUUGUGCUCUUUCAGACUGAAUUGGCUUCAAUCAAUGUACAAAACUGAUUUAGCCUCUUGAAGUGUGAAUGGAGAAAAGUAAUGCACAAACAUUAAUGUGAAGAGACAGUAUGUCUUAAAAAUGUCGACUUAGCAUAGGUGCCCCUUAUACAGAGUAUGUUUACAGGGCACUGCGUAUGCCAUUCUGACUUACAAACAACACACAGGCCGUCUGAUCGAUUGUAUUGAUUACAAGUAAGCUGCUUUGAGCUCUAUGGGCCGCUUAGAAAUCACAUAAACAUUAUUGCUUAUCAGGUUCACAGGAGGACUAAGGUCACUUUGGAUUUACAACAUUUUUCCUCAGGCCAGUUACAUUUAGCUGGUUUGGCAGUGAGAUAAGAGUUACCUUGAACACAUAGCUAUUAUUUAAUGUCCAGGGCUAGAUAAAAACACAUAUUGUUCCUUCAAAACACUUCUCAACAUGAGCACUGGCCAGCAGAUUGGUCCACAAUACAAUUAAAUGUUUCUUCUAGUCUUAGACAUAACAUGGGCAGGAAAUUGGUAGUUGUGUAGAUUAAAUAUGCUGCCAAUGUGAAAGAAACAAACAAAAUGUUUGCUUGGAAGAUACACUCUGGAUUCUUUGUCACAAUGUCCUACUUGUAAGUAAAUCGUUCUUUUGAGGUUUUUUUUUUUUUUUUUUUGUUCACAAAAAUGGUCUGGGUGGUCAACAACUUACUGACUCAUUGAACCGACUCACUUUUGGAGAUUCAUUUUGGAGAACAUUUACUGUUGUUUUGUGAAUUUUCACAUUCAAAAUCCAGUCAUUUCAAUAGUAAUCCACACAAUUUGGAAUUUGGGUGAAAGAUUUGACCAACAGUAAGGUGCUUGGUUUGAAAGUGACAAAUGUGUCAGAAUUGUGAGAUAUAAACUUGCAAUUCUGAGAAAAAACAUCAGAAUUGCAAGUUUAUAUCUCACAAUUCUGACUUUCUAUCACGCAAUUCUGACUUUAUAACUCGCAAUUCUGAGUUUAUAUCUCACAAUUGACACUUUUUUCUCAGAAUUGCGAGAUAUAAACUCACAAUUGCGAGUUAUAGUCAGAAUUGCAUGAUAUAAACUCGCAAUUACGUCUUAUACAGUCAGAUUUACGAGUUUAUAUCUCGCAAUUCUGACGUUUUUUCUCAGAAUUGUUUAUGUCUUGCAAUUCUGACUUUAUAACAUGCAACUGCGAGUUCUAAAGUCAGAAUUGUGAGAACUUGCAAUUCUGAGAAAAAAUGUCAGAAUUUCGAGUUUAUAUCUCACAAUUCUGACUUCAUAUCACGCAAUUCUGACUUUAUAACUCACGCCAUUCUGACUUUAUAUCGCUCAAU